rnacentral:rRNA from 1 species
AUUGAACGCUGGCGGCAUGCCUUACACAUGCAAGUCGAACGGUAACAGGUCUUCGGAUGCUGACGAGUGGCGAACGGGUGAGUAAUACAUCGGAACGUGCCUAGUAGUGGGGGAUAACUACUCGAAAGAGUGGCUAAUACCGCAUGAGAUCUACGGAUGAAAGCAGGGGAUCGCAAGACCUUGUGCUACUAGAGCGGCCGAUGGCAGAUGAGGUAGUUGGUGGGAUAAAAGCUUACCAAGCCGACGAUCUGUAGCUGGUCUGAGAGGACGAUCAGCCACACUGGGACUGAGACACGGCCCAGACUCCUACGGGAGGCAGCAGUGGGGAAUUUUGGACAAUGGGCGCAAGCCUGAUCCAGCAAUGCCGCGUGCAGGAUGAAGGCCUUCGGGUUGUAAACUGCUUUUGUACGGAACGAAAAGCCCUGGGUUAAUACCCUGGGGCCAUGACGGUACCGUAAGAAUAAGCACCGGCUAACUACGUGCCAGCCGCCGCAGUAAUAC